rnacentral:rRNA from 1 species
UACGUAGGGUGCAAGCGUUAAUCGGAAUUACUGGGCGUAAAGCGUGCGCAGGCGGUUUUGUAAGUCUGUCGUGAAAUCCCCGGGCUCAACCUGGGAAUUGCGAUGGAGACUGCAAGGCUAGAAUCUGGCAGAGGGGGGUAGAAUUCCACGUGUAGCAGUGAAAUGCGUAGAGAUGUGGAGGAACACCGCUGGCGAAGGCAGCCCCCUGGGUCAAGAUUAACGCUCAUGCACGAAAGCGUGGGGAGCAAACAGG